GGAAGACUGAAUGAGCAAAGAAUUGUACCAGGGGGCAAGUCCCUCUAAAGAAAUGGCUGUGUAUUGGCUAUGUCACUUGUCAAGGUCACUGCUCUUACUCAUGAGGACAGGGCUUUGACCCUGCAGGUAUUUAUGGGGCUUGGAGUGGGUGACUGGGAAGUGUAAAAAGCAUCAGUGUAGAGUAGAGAACAGCUGGCAGCUUCUCUUCCCUCCAGGCUUUCCCUGUGUUCUAAGGUGGGGAAUGCAGAAGCUUUUUGAGUUCUGGUUUGCGCAAUAUGGCCCAGUGAGGUCUGGCAGCAUGCAUUCCUGUGCGUUGUGGAGCAGUGCAAGAUCUCUGCAGCAGACAAAGCAACCCCUGCUCUUCUCAGAGAUGGACACGGAAGCCUUGCUGAGAGUGGAAUAAUAACUAUAUUGAGCAUCAGAACGUGGAGGGAGUCUGAGUGGGCAGUAACACUGCAUCAGGAACAAGAAGGCAACAGCAAGAAGUUGUUUCUCUCUUGUUCACCCCUAAAGCUAUACCUUGCAUCAGCAGGUCUCAAAGUUGGCAUUUUGAAUCAGUCCCUGCUGCUGCUUGCUCUGGUGCUCAGUUCCAGUGCAGCAGUCCUUCUGACAUGUUUGUGCUUCUCUUCACAGUGCAGCAGCCUGAAUUGUACUUAAGUGGGCAAAUUAAGGGAAUAAGGGGCUCAUUUAGUGAUGCUGUAUGGAGAAUUCUGUCUCCUGCAGACCUGGCCAAUGUGAUCAGAAGAACUCACAGGUGAUAUUGGACCAAAAGUGUGGGCCCCACCUCACCCCACUGUCCAAGAAGACUGUUAAUGUUGAGGAUUGUCUCUAGAAGCCACAUCCAGAAAGUGUUUCUGCUCCUUUUGCUGUGGAAUGAAAGCUGUACAUCACAAACUGGGACAGUAAGGAAUAACCAGCCUACCUGGCAGCAAUGAGAAACAUCCCUGAAGGCUUCCUUUGUCCAAGAGCAGCUAAUCACAAGCUAAAAUUCCUAUAAUGCAGGAGAUAGGAAUGCACGGCACAAGGAGCGCUCAUGACCUGAGAAACAGGAUCUACACGUGAGUAAAUCUGGAGGAUGAAGGUGACUGCCUAUCACCAGCUGUUCUGAGUGGAAAUCUAGCACAGCAGAAUGCUGGGGCCAGGAAGGACAGCAUUUGCACAGUGCACACUGCCCACUGGAUAGAGUGCUUUUUCAGAGCUGUGUCUUUACACCUUUGCAAUCCAAGUAAAG
rnacentral:lncRNA from 1 species